rnacentral:rRNA from 1 species
CCUACGGGAGGCAGCAGUGAGGAAUCUUGGUCAAUGGACGCAAGUCUGAACCAGCCAUGCCGCGUGCAGGAAGACGGCUCUAUGAGUUGUAAACUGCUUUUGUACGAGGGUAAACUCAGAUACGCGUAUCUGUCUGAAAGUAUCGUACGAAUAAGGAUCGGCUAACUCCGUGCCAGCAGCCGCGGUAAUACGGAGGAUUCAAGCGUUAUCCGGAUUUAUUGGGUUUAAAGGGUGCGUAGGCGGUCGGAUAAGUUAGAGGUGAAAUCCCGAGGCUCAACUUCGGAAUUGCCUCUGAUACUGUUAGGCUAGAGAGUAGUUGCGGGAGGCGGAAUGUAUGGUGUAGCGGUGAAAUGCUUAGAGAUCAUACAGAACACCGAUUGCGAAGGCAGCUUACCAAGCUACGUCUGACGUUGAGGCACGAAAGCGUGGGGAGCAAACAGGAUUAGAUACCCCUGUAGUC